CUGGUGUUGGCCGUGAGCGGGAAUCAAACUCGGGUCGCCAGGUUCGUAGUGCAGAGUAGCGCUAUCCGCUACACCACCGCUCCCCCCAUAUACAAUACACAGUCAUACACAGUACACAUAUACAAUUCAACUCAGCCCCCUUUAAAAUUAUCCCUGGACCCCCCUCCACUCCCCCCGCGAUGAUGGGAUGGAGCCCUGUACCGGCACUUCCUACCCUGGUGAGGGGGGAUCACGAGGCCGCUGGGCGCGAUUAUUCAUCGCACGCGGAAAGGUGCAGCCCUGCAAUUUCGUGCCCACGUCACUGACGACGCUAGGGGUCUCCACUGGAGGGAUCAUCUCGAGAGAGAGGCCUUCAAAGAGCGCAAGUGGAUGGCGUUCUUUGUUACAGCUGCCGCGCCACGAGUUGAACCAGAGACAUCUCGAUUGCAAUUCAUUAGUGCGCUACCCGUUAUACCACAGCAUCAUCCCGUAAUGUAACCUAUAUACUGCGUAUAACAUCGGUAGUGUUAUGUUCGCAACAUUACAGAUGCUAUGUAUACGCGUACAGUGUGAUCUAAAAGUCAUAACACAUAGGGUUAUUUAAUUUAUUUGAACAUGUAAUCGUUUAUUUUUCAAGUUGAUAUUUUAUCUGUUAUUAUUAUUUAUUUUUCUUCUUAUCCCAGUGGAGGUCGUCUCAAACCCGUCGUUUACAAAACUCGACCAUGAAGAAUCGAGAACGAAGUGAGACGAAACAUAAUUGAUGAAUGUUCAAAGAUUACACCCGUAAUCUUGACACCUUUAGUGGAAUCAGAAUCUUUAUUUAGACUGGAGGAAUCCGGUGAACUAUGAAGCUUCUUUUUCACCUCCGUCCAGUAUGAGCGGGUCACGCCUGUAACCUUCCAAAAAAAAAUCCUAAAUUAAUUUCAAAAAGAGAAUUCAUGCAUAAUGCAUGAAUGUUAAUAAAAGUCAGAUUGAACUUUGAAAACAAACAAUAACCCUACGUGAAAUAGAAUAACCCUAAUGUGUCCUGACUUUUGGGCCACCCUGUACGACCACAGAUCACUCGCUGCACUUCGACUCACAGCACACUCUGUCCUUUAUAGCCGAACAGAAAUAAUCGGUUUCUGAAAUUUAAAUCGUUGCUCGGAAUCGACACAACUUCUAGAAUCGUGGAUUUUACUAACAUCGCUCAAUCACUGUCACCCGUUGUGUGGGGGGCGGGGGGUGUUAUUUAUUUAUUUUGAUAGCCGCUUCCUCGACAGGGGCUGCUGCUGCUGUUAUGACGUCACCGCAUCUCGACUAACCCCAUUCACUUCACGCGCCCUUGCCAGGCUACCGUGUGAAACGGAACGGUCGAGUCUCUUCUCUCUCCCUCGUGUAUAAAAACAAACAACAACAUUAAUAAUUUCAUCGAUAAAUAAGUAAUGUAGUAGAUAGCGCGUAUGUAUGUUGAACUUCUUUCGUACCGUACGUAGCCAACCGUGGUCAUCAGAGGUGCGGCGGGAAGGACAACAAACUAACACACACAAAAUCAGUUCUAAAGAAACUAUUUUUCAAUCCAUAUUUAAAAGUGUACAGCUCCAGUGGCUUCCUAAUAUCGGAAGGAAGAGCGUUCCAGACGGCCGCAUAAGAGCGCAUCUGAAAGCGCGCGAUGCGGUGACCGCCAUGUUUGUUCGAUGGACAGCAACCAAAAAAAUACGAGCAGCCAAAUAUGUACGUUGAACUUCUUUCGCACCGUACGUGGCCAACCGUGCUAAUCGGAAGUGCCGGAAAAAUCGAGUCAAGAUUGUCGGCCGCAAUCUUGACUCGCGACCAGGCAUGCUCAGUCCACUGCUGGAUUAAGUUCCACCCCCCCACCUCCCCAUCCUCCAAGCCGCUGCCAUCUGUCAGUAACAAGUAUGGCAUUUGUUGUUGUCGUUCGUCCCACACGUGUAAACAGCAUGUGUGUAUGAGUGUAUGUGGGCCUCCCCUAGGUAGACUCAGCAUUAAAUGAUUGCCUCGUGUGUGAGUAUCAGCACGAGGGAGACAAAGGCUGCCGGGCGUGGUGUUGGCCACCCACCCCCUCGUGUACCGUGCCGACCUUCAUAGGUGUUCGCUCACAGCACUUGCCCCAACAGUCUGUUAAGGCUUUACGGGGGAUCUUUGUAUUUGCUGUACGUGUAUGGUCAUGCACGAAUAUGCUAAGUGGGGAGCGGUAAUGCAGCGGUCUGCUCACUGCGCUUUGAACCGAGUUCGAUUUCCGCUCACUGCCAACAUCGGCGACAAAUAUCUGCACCGAUCCCGGGCCUCCCCUAGGUCCACACAGCCUUAAAUUAGUACCUGGUGCGGUGUGUAAUACACAUUAGCACUGGGAAGACAAAGGCGGUCGGGUGUGGCGAUAUCGAAACCACCGCCUCGUGUGACGUGCCGGCCAUAAUAGGUGCUCGCUAACAGCUCUUGCCCCAAACAGUCCAGGUAUUCUACGGGGGAUCGUUGUCUAUGUGUUGUCCUAUGUGUACGCCUACGUGUCUCAUUGUUGUCACAGCCUCGUGGUAGAAUUCGGUGCACGACAAUGCGAAUGGUGACAUUAAGUAUCGAGUACAUUUGGUGUUCCACGCUGUCAUUCUGUCGGGCAAGGCUAUCGCGAAGGCAAAGGCUCUGCUGUCUCAGACCGAGUGCCCAGGAGUUUCACAGAAGGAGUGGCAACACUCGCUGUGUGCGCGCGUGUAAUCCCAAUGGAAUAAUAUUGCUGGGUAGUUUUUUUAAUGUGGCAACAAAAAAUGUAGGAUCAUGACGCCGGACACACAACGGCCUCUUAAACGUUCGCGGUAAUGCGGGUCAACGCAACAUGCAAGGAGUAAACCAGGGCGGACGGCCGGAGUCGAACCGCGAACUUCUGCAGCAGCAACAACAACAACAAAACCAAUCGACGACCGCGCCACCGCUGGUGCUACGUCACCGCCGUAAUGCUUUAGGCUAUAAUUAAUGGGCACCUUGUUGACUUGAUACAAAAUAAGUGUGACCAAAGAGAGGGCGGACACAUCGAGCACAGCUCCUAUGGACGACGGUCCGGUUGGACGGGGCCGUGCGCAAACGGAGACCAAUCAAAGGAUGAGGCCACGUCCGAGAGGACGGCCACCGUGGAGAGAUGGAUCGUCGUGAUCGACGUGAUCGGGGCCUCUCUCUUCGCGGUGGAACGAGAUGGAUCGCGCAGGCAUCGCAAGCACACCGUGAUGGAUGGGCGACCACGUGGGGAGGUCUUCAUCCAGCAGUGAAUAACAACACGGCCGAUCAGGGUGGCGUGGGGGGGGGUAACACAACGCGGUGGUUACUGCGGUCAAAUUGACAACGGAGUGCGACGUAUAUUCACACAAGAUGCGAUCUUGAUUGAGAAGUGCCCUCGAUGUAAGUUCACUCUCGCAAUGCCACGUGUUCUCGCGGACGCUAAUCGUAGACCCGCAUCGCCCUAUGAGUCAAAUCGCCCGGGAUGCGCCACCAGAUCUUUGUCGAAACAUCGCACGCCCAGUGGGAUUGCGCCUGGUUUGUGCUUCGAUGGGCCACCACCACGACUAGCACGCACACACGGGGUGCUGUCGAGUGUGCGGCUACGUAGUGGUAGUGCAGUUGCGCAGUACUUUUAGGCUUUCGCGCCUAUGCUCUGCGCCUUCACCAACCAACCCGUAUCGACCAGCGUGGUGAAGUAUGGUCACAGAGACCCACACACGGCGAUGGGCGGCGGGGGCGUAACAGUAGAUUCACGAAGGUGGUGUGCAUGUCUAAAGUAGAUAUCGCAGGCCUGUGGGGCUGUGUCUUUAAUGUUUCGCAUAUCCCACGUGACAUUUUGUGACAAACAGCUGUGACGUAGCGACACGUGCUGUCAAAAUGAUAGCACGUGUCGUCACUGUGGCCGUGUGCAGAGGCAGCUUCCGGUUAAACAAUUUCGUAGCUCAGUGAGAUUUUUUUUAUUCGUAUUAUUAAAACGGACUGUUUCGCUUUUUUUUCAUUUCUAGAACAUUUAAUACGUUUUCUCCUAUCAUCCAACUAUUCUCACUCGGGUCCCGCCUCUAUUCUCUCUCGCUGCUCUUAAUAUAGAAUAUCGAGUGCAGCACAGACAUCAUAGACAGCCAAUGUAAAACAAAAACACUCAACAAUUUAUAAAGUGCUGAUGAUGAUGCUAAUGUGCGGCCCCUUUGUGAAUCUAUUGCUCAAUGAAGACCUCCGCGCCGUGCAAGUCACAUGGGGCGGGCGGGGUGGGGGGGGGUAUUUGACCAUACUUCACCACGCUGGUCAGGCUCGGGUAUAAAGUGGGGCGUGGGGAAGGGGAGAGGGUUUCACCUUUCUCCAGGAUGAGUUCCAGUUACCAAUUCAUAGCUGAUUUUAUCCGUGGCCGGUGAAUCGAACUCAGGCAAUUGGCAGUUUAUAGACUCCUGCUGAACCACUCUACCAUCAUCACAGCACCUAUAGGGUACUCGUGAUUACCUAUUGCGCUCGUAUUCAUGACGCUAGUGAAGUUUAACCAUGUAUUGUGUGGGUGGUCAGAAGCGUCGUUUAACGAGGCACUAUCUGACGAGUUAAUGUCUAACCCGAUGUUAGUUUUCCUUUUCUACAACACCCAUUUGUCAUUCGUCUUUUGCCCAAUUACUCCCGAAGUAUCUGCACCGGGAUUAUUAUGAACUAACUAUGCAAUAAAAUACACAAGACUCCUCUCUGUCUAUUCCAAAUAUGCAAAUGAUAAAUAAGUGAAACAAUUAUCAUUCGUGCAUACUGUAUACUAUUAAUUCGUAUGUUUCAAUUUCCAUUAUAUCAAUGAACACGUGUUUUAUUAUUCUUAGAUGUACGUAACGUAUUUAGGCCAAUAUGUAUGUGGUAUAUGAAGACUCGCUUCUCACGUGUAAUUAUGCGAUCCACUUUCACGACCAUGUAUUCCCUGCGUUAAUCAAAUACUUAGACGCGUGUGCAACAUGCAUAACACGGUGUAAAUAUGUGUAGGGUUAGAGCGGUGGCGGGCGACAUCCGAACAGGGUCCUGGGCCUAACCUGCACUCCUGACCAGCGUGGUGAAGUAUGGUCAAACAACAAUCCCUCCGUGAAUGCAAGGCGUGAACGACGAAGCCUUCAUCCGGCAGUGGAAUUGACAAAGGGGGCUGUUAAUUGUUGUGAUUAUACUAAAAUGUGCAUGCGUUGUGUGGAGUUGACGCUUCGGCCACUGUCUUGUGUAAUGUAAAAUAGUCGUCAUACUUUUAUUACGGUUUGAAUGACUUUCAUAAUAAAGGCUAUGAAGCAAA